rfam:Triticum aestivum genome assembly, contig: Triticum_aestivum_CS42_TGACv1_scaffold_405550_5BL
UUACUACUCCCUCCGUCCGGAAAUACUUUGUCAUCAAAAUGAAUAAAAGGAGAUGUAUCUAGACGUAUUUUAGUUUUAGAUAUAUUUUUUUUGUCCAUUUUGAUGACAAGUAUUUUCAGACGGAGGGAGUAUGUU